CAUGUCUAAGUUCAUGCCGUAUUAAGGCGAAACCGCGAAUGGCUCAUUAAAUCAGUUAUGGUUCCUUGGAUCGUACUUUACUACUUGGAUAACUGUGGCAAUUCUAGAGCUAAUACAUGCAGCAGAGCUCCGACGCCCCUCGGGGCGGACGAGCGCUUUUAUUAGACCAAAACCGAUCGGGGUUUACUCCGUUUCGCGUGGUGACUCUGAAUAACUUUGGGCCGAUCGCACGGGCUUCGUCCCGGCGACGUAUCCUUCAAGUGUCUGCCUUAUCAACUGUCGACGGUAGUUUAAUCGCCUACCGUGGUUUUUACGGGUAACGGGGGAUCAGGGUUCGAUUCCGGAGAGGGAGCCUGAGAAACGGCUACCACAUCCAAGGAAGGCAGCAGGCGCGCAAAUUACCCACUCCCGGCACGGGGAGGUAGUGACGAAAAAUAACGAUACGGGACUCUUUCGAGACCCCGUAAUCGGAAUGAGUACGCUCUAAAUCCGCUAACGACGAACCAUUGGAGGUAAAGUCUGGUGCCAGCAUCCGCGGUAACUCCAGCUCCAAUAGCGUAUAUUAAAGUUGUUGCGGUUAAAAAGCUCGUAGUUGGAUCUGAGUCUCUGCCCGGCGGU
rnacentral:rRNA from 1 species